rnacentral:rRNA from 1 species
GAUGAACGCUAGCGACAGGCCUAACACAUGCAAGUCGAGGGGCAGCACGAAGUAAGCUUGCUUACUUUGGUGGCGACCGGCGCACGGGUGCGUAACAGGUGUGCAAUCUGUCCAUAAUCGGGGGAAUAGCCCAGCGAAAGUUGGAUUAAUGCUCCAUGUGAGCAGGGGAGGCAUCUCCUUUGUUUGAAACGUAAGGAUUAUGGGUGAGCACGCUUCUGAUUAGGUAGUUGGUGAGGUAACGGCUCACCAAGCCGACGAUCAGUAGGGGUUCUGAGAGGAAGGUCCCCCACAUUGGAACUGAGACACGGUCCAA